AGUAGGGGAGACUGGAAUUCCUGGUGUAGCGGUGGAAUGCGCAGAUAUCAGGAGGAACACCGAUGGCGAAGGCAGGUCUCUGGGCUGUAACUGACGCUGAGGAGCGAAAGCAUGGGGAGCGAACAGGAUUAGAUACCCUGGUAGUCCAUGCCGUAAACGUUGGGCACUAGGUGUGGGGACCAUUCCACGGUUUCCGCGCCGCAGCUAACGCAUUAAGUGCCCCGCCUGGGGAGUACGGCCGCAAGGCUAAAACUCAAAGGAAUUGACGGGGGCCCGCACAAGCGGCGGAGCAUGCGGAUUAAUUCGAUGCAACGCGAAGAACCUUACCAAGGCUUGACAUGUUCCCGAUCGCCGUAGAGAUACGAUUUCCCCUUUGGGGCGGG
rnacentral:rRNA from 1 species